CAAUAGCGUAUAUUUAAGUUGUUGCAGUUAAAAAGCUCGUAGUCGGAUUUUGGCUGAGAACGAUCGGUCCGCCGUUAGGUGUGCACUGAUUGGUCUCAGCUUCCUGGUGAGGAGGUGUGCUUCACGGCCACUUAGUCACCGUGGUUACUUUGAAAAAAUUAGAGUGUUCAAAGCGGGCUUACGCUUGAAUAUAUUAGCAUGGAAUAACACCAUAGGACUCCUGUCCUAUUUCGUUGGUCUCGGGACGGGAGUAAUGAUUAAGAGGAACAGUUGGGGGCAUUCGUAUUUCAUUGUCAGAGGUGAAAUUCUUGGACUUAUGAAAGACGAACUUCUGCGAAAGCAUUUGCCAAGGAUGUUUUCAUUGA
rnacentral:rRNA from 1 species